ACUCAUUUUAAAACCAAACAAAGAAACCAUUCUAUGAAGCCUCAAUUUCUAAGGAGCCUUAAAACCCGCUCAACUUUUCAGUUCUACCUCAUGUUCUUGAUUCCCAGUUACUGGAUAUCUUGAUUGGGAAGGUUACUUUAAUAUAUUCUUUAUGACAUUUUUGAGAGGAGAAAGACGAUGGUAUCUCUCACACCCCAUCCUGUUCCUAAAUUCUGCCUGAUCAGGAAGAGAAUUUUUCAUCUCUAAUCA